GUGGGGAAUAUUGGACAAUGGGCGCAAGCCUGAUCCAGCCAUACCGCGUGGGUGAAGAAGGCCUUCGGGUUGUAAAGCCCUUUUGUUGGGAAAGAAAUCCUGUCGGUUAAUACCUGGCGGGGAUGACGGUACCCAAAGAAUAAGCACCGGCUAACUUCGUGCCAGCAGCCGCGGUAAUACGAAGGGUGCAAGCGUUACUCGGAAUUACUGGGCGUAAAGCGUGCGUCGGUGGUGGUUUAAGUCCGUUGUGAAAGCCCUGGGCUUAACCUGGGAAUGGCAAUGGAUACUGAAUCACUAGAGUGUGGUAGAGGUAUGCGGAAUUUCUGGUGUAGCACUGAAAUGCGUAGAGAUCAAAAGGAACAUCCGUGGCGAAGGCGGCAUCCUGGGCCAACACUGACACUGAGGCACGAAAGCGUGGGGAGCAAACAGGAUUAGAUACCCUUGUAGUCC
rnacentral:rRNA from 1 species